rnacentral:rRNA from 1 species
AUGGAACCAUGUCAGCCCGUGCUCGAGGAGCCAUGCACCGCCACCGUCGCCGAGGUGCUGAAGCUGGUGGAGGCGCCAUCUGACGAUCAAGGAUGUCCUAUAUGCUUUGGUCAGGAAGGCGGCACGAUCGCGUGGAAGGAGACGGUGUGCGGACACAUCUUUCAUGGCCGAGGCGUUGAGAAGUGGCUCGAGAUGAAGGGAAGCUGUCCCAUGUGUCGGCGCCAGCUUUUGGCACCACAUACGGAUGCAAAACAAGACCCUCGCCGGGUAGAUCCCUUCAUAUCAUAUGUGGCUAGUUUUAUGGCGUCUAUUCCGGACAUGCACUCAUCAGAUUCAUUCAAUUAUUUUAGACAGUACUUGUAA